UAAUGUAUAACAGGUCAAAGGUCAUCUGAUACAAAUCAGCAUCUAAAUCUUGCUGAAGAUUUCAUUAUAAAGCCGUGUGACGGAGGAUUUUGUACGACGCUUUCACUAGAAUGAAACACUGUGGUGGACUUUUGGUGGAGGAACUAAACUGACGAUCAGAACUGGUCCCGCAGUGAAGCCCUCCGUGUCUCUGCUGCCUCCCUCUUCUCUGCAGAUCUCUGGAGACUCAGCCGCACUGCUCUGUCUGCUCAGCUCUUACUCUCCACAGGGGGCGCAGGUGAGCUGGACGCUGGACGGGUCAGAGGUCACCGAGGGGGUUCAGACCAGCGCAGAGAGCGAGCGGGACGGACGCUAAAGCCGCAGCAGCGUCCU